rnacentral:lncRNA from 1 species
AGGUUACCUUGUAUAACCUCCCUCUCCUCCACGUGCUAUAGCACAGCUUCCAGGAGGAUCCACCCCAUCAUCUUCCCCAGCACAGAGGUUAGAGUCAUUGGAACAAUUUGCCAGAGGAUGUGGUGGAUUCUGGAUCUGCAUUGGAGUCUUGAUUGCCAUUGUGAAAGAUACACAGUCCUGAACUCAAAACAGGGUGUAAGUGCCAGCUGAACAAUCUGACAGUCCCACUCGGUUGUGAACACCAAUGAUGUUUCAUCCAUGAUCCAGCAGAAUGAGUGUGGGUCUGGAGGCCAGCAUGUGGGCUCCCAUCUGACCGCCCAUCUGGAGCAUCUGCAUUUGGCAAGUGGGAAUGCCAGCAGAGCAUCUUCUGAACAGGUUGUGUCUUUUAUGGAAUGAGCUGGACUUCAUGUACAUCAUUGCUGCAACACCUGUUGGAAAUAAUCACAACUCACAGAGUUUGUUGCUUGUAGAUGGUUUCAGUGUCACCCAUGCCCUCAGUCCUAGGCUGGUGCGGGUCACAGGCUGUUUGCUCUUCUCCUCUGCUCAGGGAUGAACUUGAGCUUACAGUUUUCACAUUUUCUCAUUCUAAUUGUGAACAGAAAUUCCAUACGAUCUCCUUAUUGUACUGUUAAAAUAAAAUAAAGCUUGUUUUUCAAACACAGCAUCAGACUUGCCCUUGAUGUUAC